rnacentral:rRNA from 1 species
ACUAGCCUACGGGACGCAGCAGUAGGGAAUCUUCCACAAUGGACGAAAGUCUGAUGGAGCAACACCGCGUGAGUGAAGAAGGGUUUCGGCUCGUAAAGCUCUGUUGUUGGAGAAGAACGUGCGUGAGAGUAACUGUUCACGCAGUGACGGUAUCCAACCAGAAAGUCACGGCUAACUACGUGCCAGCAGCCGCGGUAAUACGUAGGUGGCAAGCGUUAUCCGGAUUUAUUGGGCGUAAAGCGAGCGCAGGCGGUUUCUUAGGUCUGAUGUGGAAACCUUC